rnacentral:rRNA from 1 species
UACGUAGGCAGCGAGCGUUGUUCGGAGUUACUGGGCGUAAAGCGUGCGUAGGCGGUGUCUUAAGUUUGUUGUGAAAUCUCCCGGCUUAACCGGGAGGGUGCGGCGAAUACUGAGAUGCUGGAGUGCCGGAGAGGUAAGCGGAAUUCCUGGUGUAGCGGUGGAAAUGCGUAGAUAUCAGGAGGAACACCUGCGGUGUAGACGGCUUACUGGACGGUAACUGACGCUGAGGCACGAAAGCGUGGGUAGCAAACAGG